AGUUUGAUCCUGGCUCAGGAUGAACGCUAGCGGCAGGCCUAAUACAUGCAAGUCGAACGGGAUUGGAAGCUUGCUUCCAUGAGAGUGGCGUACGGGUGCGUAACGCGUAUGCAACCUACCACCAUCAGGGGUAUAGCCCCCGGAAACGGGGAUUAACACCGCAUGAAGACACAGUACCGCAUGGUACAAUGUCCAAACAUUUAUGGGAUGGUGAUGGGCAUGCGUGCCAUUAGCUAGUUGGCGGGGUAACGGCCCACCAAGGCUACGAUGGCUAGGGGAUCUGAGAGGAUGACCCCCCACACUGGUACUGAGACACGGACCAGACUCCUACGGGAGGCGGCAGUAAGGAAUAUUGGUCAAUGGGGGCAACCCUGAACCAGCCAUGCCGCGUGCAGGAAGACAGCCCUAUGGGUCGUAAACUGCUUUUAUACGGGAAUAAACCACCCCUCGUGAGGAGUGUUGAAGGUACCGUAAGAAUAAGGAUCGGCUAACUCCGUGCCAGCAGCCGCGGUAAUACGGAGGAUCCAAGCGUUAUCCGGAUUUAUUGGGUUUAAAGGGAGCGUAGGCGGCCCGUUAAGUCAGGGGUGAAAGACGGUGGCUCAACCAUCGCAGUGCCUUUGAUACUGGCGGGCUUGAAUGUAGUUGAGGUGGGCGGAAUGUGACAAGUAGCGGUGAAAUGCAUAGAUAUGUCACAGAACGCCGAUUGCGAAGGCAGCUCACCAAGCUAUGAUUGACGCUGAGGCUCGAAAGCGUGGGGAUCAAACAGGAUUAGAUACCCUGGUAGUCCACGCCCUAAACGAUGAUAACUCGAUGUUGGCGAUAUACAGUCAGCGUCCAAGCGAAAGCGUUAAGUUAUCCACCUGGGGAGUACGCCCGCAAGGGUGAAACUCAAAGGAAUUGACGGGGGCCCGCACAAGCGGAGGAGCAUGUGGUUUAAUUCGAUGAUACGCGAGGAGCCUUACCCGGGCUUGAAAGUUACUGAAGUUGCCAGAGAUGGCAGCGUCCUUCGGGACAGGAAACUAGGUGCUGCAUGGCUGUCGUCAGCUCGUG
rnacentral:rRNA from 1 species